rnacentral:rRNA from 1 species
GAUGAACGCUGGCGGCGUGCCUAAUACAUGCAAGUCGAACGCUGGAAAUCUAGCUUGCUAGAUUGAAGGAGUGGCGAACGGGUGAGUAAUACAUAAGCAACCUACCCACGAAGACUGGGAUAAUCUCUGGAAACGGGGACUAAUACCGGAUAGGUAAUCGGAAGGCAUCUUCUGAUUAUUAAAGGUUAAAAACACUGGUGGAUGGGCUUAUGGCGCAUUAGUUAGUUGGUGAGGUAACGGCCCACCAAGACGAUGAUGCGUAGCCGGCCUGAGAGGGUGAACGGCCACAUUGGGACUGAGACACGGCCCAGACUCCUACGGGAGGCAGCAGUAGGGAAUUUUCAGCAAUGGGGGAAACCCUGACCGAGCAACGCCGCGUGAGUGAGGACGGCCUUCGGGUUGUAAAGCUCUGUUGUAAGGGAAGAACGGUAGAUAGAGAAUAUCUAAAUGACGGUACCUUACCAGAAAGCCACGGCUAACUACGUG